ensembl:lncRNA
UGGCAGCGCAGCGGUAAGCAGGCGGCCACAGAGCGCUCCUUCAACGGACCCACUAUUACCGAAACAGGAUUUAAGUUCACGAAAACCAGAAAGCUUCGCCAGGAGUGAAAACCUGGACCUCAUCGCCCUGUGGACUUUAACUACUGGCCUUUCCUGCUUCACCUGCAGAUACUGAGUCCAGCGCUGACCACAGAGAGGAGGAGGACGAAGGAGGAGGACGAAGGAGGACGAAGGAGGCCUAGCCACGGCAGCAGUCGACCGCGGCCCCCCUGGACCAGUGGAGCCCCCCCCCCCAGCCAUAGAAGGAAAGCAAUGGUUUUGGGAGCUGGAGGCCAUAGCAGCAUCGAUAGAGUUUGCGUGGGUGGCAUCCUCUUCCCUUCAGCGAGCCCCCCCCCUGCCCCGGGAUGCCCCCCCGCCGCCCGGCCCUGAGCUCCCCCAGGGAGACAUGAGCAGCUACCGCGACCGGGGGGUCACCUGCACCUCCUCGGACCUCCUGCUGGACGGAGGAGGAGGAGGGGGAAGGGGGCUGCCUCUCUCGGCCUCCCAGCAUGCACUGCUCCGCCCCCUGCCCAACGGACACCCGGGGGACCCGACGGGCGGGCCCCGGCUCUCGGUGCCCAAGAUGGGGGUCCGGGCGCGCAUCGCCGAGUGGCCCCCGCGGCGCUCCCAGUCCCGGGAGUCGCUGCUGGAG